GACCUGGUGGUGGAGUGGUUACCGUGCCUGCCAUAAAUAAGCCAAUGUGUUGAUGCCUUUAAGCAGGAGAGCCCCGUUCGAUUCGGGGUCAGGUCA